AUGAAGGAUACAAAACCAUAUUACAUGCAGCCAUUGAUACAGCGAAAGACACUUGGGAUAAAAAUAUACGACAAGUACGUGAAAGAGGGUAUGAAUGAGGAAGACGCAAUUCAACAAAGCAAUCAAAAAAUAAGCCCUCUUGUUCAACGUCAGUUUUUUAAACGCUAUACUGAGUUGUUGAAACUGAUUGUUCCCCUAGAUAAAAGCAAUGUGCACUCUGACAUUGUACGACAAAUUCAGGAUGUUGUUGAAAACAAUACAGAUGACGAAACUCAAAUUCGGCGUAUUCUCAUGAAAAAUCGAUAUCAAUUUAAUGAAUUAUUUGAUGAUGAUUACUUUGAAACGACUAGUGACACUGAGAAUACAGACGAUGAGGACGAUGAAGAGGACGCUGACGAAGAUGUACAGGAGAAAGACUAGUCCUUUAUAACAUACUGUAUUACAUGGAUUUCGUUAUAUCCAUUUUAAUAUUUGUAUUGACAACAUGUCUGCAUUGGAGAAAUAUCUAAAGGAAAUCUUACUACAUUCCAUCAAAUCCUGCUAGUUUUUCGGGACCAGACAAACUUUAUAAUUAUAUACAAAAAGAUGGGCAAUUCAAAAUUAGUAAAUAUAAGAUACGAAAAUGGUUACAAAGCCAGGAACCAUACAGUUUACAACGACCAUUAAGGAGACCACAGAAUAGAACGGAAAUCGUUGUGGCCGGGAUAGAUGACCAAUGGUCUGCUGACCUUAUGGAUAUGGUGAAGUUUUCAAAAUACAAUAAAGAAUAUAAAUACGUAUUGGUAGUCAUUGGUGUGUUUUCAAAGUAUUUAUGGCUACGUAAACUAAAAGAUAAAAAAGGAGAGUCCGUGGCAACUGCAUUUCAAGACAUAUUUCAAACAGGAAGAGUUCCAAAUAAAAUACGAACGGAUAUGGGACAGGAGUUCAAGGCAAAGAGAGUUCAGACAGUUUUUAAAAAGGAAGAGAUUAAUCAUUUUUAUGCGUUUAAUGAGGUCAAAGCAUCAGUGUCCGAGCGUGUUAUAAAAACAAUAAAAACGAAAAUAUAUCGCUACUUUUCGUACAAUCAGUCUUACAGAUACAUAGACAAGCUUAAAAGCCUUGUAAACGGAUACAACCAUACUAUUCAUAGCACUAUCGACAUGGCACCUGUAGAAGUGAAAAAGGAAAAUGAAGAAGCUAUUCGCUUAUCGACAUAUUUUUCAAGACCGCAUUCUGGAAUGUUAAAGAAACAGUACCACUUCAGGUUUAAACUUGGAGAUCGAGUUAGACUUACAUAUUUGAGAAAUAUUUUUUCUCGGGAAUAUGACGAAAAAUGGACGGGUGAAGUAUUCACGAUAUCCGGACGAUUCUGGAGAAGCAUGACACCGUUAUUUGAAAUGAAAGGCUACGAAAAAGAAUUUGUGUAUAGAGAAAAAUGUAAAGGAGGAGGUGUAGUUAUUUUUUAUAAGAAAUGGUUAACUCCCUAUACUACUGUAUUGAAUUGUUGUGCAGAUAGUAUGAUCUGGUUAAAAAUUGACAAAAAUGUAUGUUUAAAUGGUUUAGAUUUGUAUAUUUGUGCUAUUUAUAUUCCGCCUGAUAAAAAUGUAUUUUACCGUAAAUAUGAUAUAGAUGUUUUCGAUAUACUGCAAGAAAAUAUUGAACAUUAUAGUACAUUAGGAACUGUGGCUGUGAUAGGCGACUUGAAUGGACGAGUAGGUCUAAAAGCGGACAAUAUAGUUAAUGAUACAUUGGAUAAAGAACUGAUUAACAGUAUUUCUUUUAUUGACUAUGUAAAUGAUAGUUAUAUUUGUAAUAGAAAAUCUGAAGACAUUAAACCUCCAAAUAGUUUUGGUCAGCGUAUAUUGCAGUUAUGCCAGUCGUCCGGUCUACGUAUAUGUAACGGCAGAUUUGGAACAGAUAGUGGGAAAAUAACAUUUAAUAAUAAAAACGGUAGUAGCGUUAUUGAUUAUUUAUUGUUUACACAAAGUGAAAUGUUUAAAAUUUUAAAAUCUUUUUAUGUUGAACCAUUUAAUAUGUAUUCAUGUCAUGCUCCAAUAGUAGCUGAAUUGUACCUUAAGGGUAAUAAUCAGUCUUACGGUCAAUGUCAUUGUAAUAAAACUAAGUUCAAUAUAUUUAACUGGAAUGAAGGGUCAGAAGAUGAUAUCAGAAGUAAAUUGAUACUCAACACACAAAAAGUUUGAUGAUCUACUGGUAAAUUUUGACGAAAACAGCGAUAUAGAUACGUGUGUAGAAAGACUUAAUAAUCUUUUAACUGAUAUAUAUGAACAGUAUACGAAAUCUGAAGUAACAUACAAAGAACAGUGUGAAUUUUGUGAAAAUGGCGAUAAAGUUUAUAAAUCUAAUGCGGACAAGCCUUGGUUUACCGAUGAAUGCAAAACAUUAUACAUACAAUAUCAAAAUGCAUUAGACAGUUUUAACAAAUACCGCUCGGAUGAAAACAGAAUUAACUUUAACCUUUCAAAGCAAAAGUAUAAGUGCUGCGAAACAAGACUUAAAAGACAUUAUAAGAACCAACGAGGAAAUAUGCUGUCGUCACUAAGGAAGAAAAAUCCGAAACGUUUCUAUAAGAAUUUUAAAAAACGUAAAAAGCGCAUUAAAAAUAACAUUUCAUUAAACCAAUUCGAGGAACAUUUUAAGAAACUUAUGUCUAAACCGCCCGAAGUGAAUGUUGGAACGAGUGAUACUCCGGAAACAGUUUUUGAGGAACUUGAUCUUCCGUUUACAGAAAAAGAACUGGAUUCGUGCAUCAAAAAACUAAAAAGAGACAAGUCGACUGGUUAUGAUGAUAUAAUGAAUGAGUAUAUACUGUUUGGUAAAACUUUAUUGAAACCUGUACUUUGCAAACUGUUCAACAAUAUUUUAUGUGCUGGAAAUUUUCCUGAAAUAUGGGUGAAAUGUAUUUUAAUUCCAAUUUUUAAGAAAGGAAAUCCUGACGAUCCUGGAAACUACAGAGGUAUUUCGUUGGUGUCCCAUUUAGGAAAACUAUUUACGUCGUUGAUUAAUUCAAGACUUAAAACAUGGUGCAAGAUUAACAACACUCUGACAGAUGCACAAUUUGGAUUCCGUCCUGGAUACGGCACUUCUGAUGCCAUCUUCUGUCUUCAUUCCCUGAUUUCUAAGUCAUUAAGAAAGGUAAACGCUUAUAUUGCUGUUUUAUCGAUUAUAUUAAAGCGUUUGAUAGUGUUUUUCAUGUAAAAUUGUGGUUGAGAUUAGUUAGAUGUGGCGUUACUGGUAAACUUCUUACUGUAAUUAAAUCUAUGUAUUCUAAAUUGAAAACUAGUAUAAAGUGUAAUGGAAAAAUUUCAGAUUUUUUUAAUUGUAAUACUGGCUUGAUGCAAGGGGAAUCUUUAUCCCCUUUAUUAUACUCGUUGUAUGUCAAUGAUAUGGAAGUAGAGCUAAUCAGUAAUGGCUGUCAGUCAUAUGAAUUGAAAUCCUUAAAUUUAUUUUUACUUAUGUAUGCAGACGACACUGUUUUAUUUAGUGAGAACAUAGAUGAUCUGCAAAAUAUGAUAAAUACUGUAAACUCUUCUGCAGAGGAAUAUGGUUUAUAUAUUAAUAUGUCUAAAACUAAAGUGGUCGUGUUUAGAAAUAGAGGUAGUGUAAAAAGUCAAGAAAAAUGGUUUUUGAAUAACAACCAAAUAGAUAUAUGUGAUAGUUUUGUAUAUUUGGGUAUUCUUUUUAACUAUAAUGGCAGUUUUUUACAUACACAAAAAAUGUUAGCCAAUCAAGGAAGAAAAAGCUGUUUUUGCUUUAUGUAGUAAAAUUGUAGAUGAAUAUUAUAACUGUGAAACGUUACUGUCCUUAUUUGAUACUUAUGUAUCUAGUAUACUUAAUUAUAGCUGUGAAGUGUGGGGUAAUCAUAAAGCUGAUGAUAUAGAGAAAGUACAUUUAUAUUUUUUAAAACGAAUUCUAAAGGUUAGAAAAACUGCUGUAAAUAACAUGGUUUACUGUGAAUUGGGACGUUAUCCAAUGUAUUAUGAAAGACAAAGAAGACUGAUUCAGUUUUGGUUUAAAUUAUUAAAUACUGAUAACUGUAUACUUAAAGCAUGUUAUGAAGAUAUGUUGGAGAGUUCAUUUAAAAAACCCAAUGACAAAUCGAAUUGGGCAUGUUCAGUCAAAGAUAUUUUAUGUAGAUAUGGUUUUCAUGAUGUAUGGCUAAAACAAAGCGUAAAUAAUGUUGAUAUAUUCAUACAUGAGUUAAAACAAAGAAUGAAAGAUACCUUUAUUGCUGAUGCUAAUGCUUUUUUAAUAAUUCAUCAAAAUGUAUACUUUAUAGAUAUAUAUAUGACACAGAUAUACUGCAAUUUUAUUUAGAUAGACCUGUUAAUCAAAUAUAUAAACCUUUUAUAUGUAAAUAUCGUAUAUCCGCCCAUAGCCUCAACAUAGAAACAGGCAGAUAUUACAAUGUAGAUAGAGAAAAUAGAUUAUGUACUAUGUGCAAUAACAAUAUUGUAGAAGAUGAAUACCAUGUUGUUCUAGAAUGUAAUAGAUAUAGUGAUGUAAGAAAACUAUACAUUAAGAAAUAUUAUUGGCAAUGUCCAUCCACUUUUAAACUUAUACAGUUGUUAUCAGUUCACAAUGUGAAAGAACUUAAUAAUUUAGGUAAAUUUUUGUUUAAUAUUGAAAAAAUUCGUAAUAUGUAGUUGUAUUAAUUAUUUAUCAUAUGAAUUUAUUUUCAUU
rnacentral:sRNA from 1 species